GGGAAUGAUGAUCUGAUUGACAAGAAUCUCUGACACUGGUCCUGAUAUCUAAUAUAAAUUCUGACUC